CCAGACUCCUACGGGAGGCAGCAGUGGGGAAUAUUGCACAAUGGGGGGAACCCUGAUGCAGCGACGCCGCGUGGGCGAGGAAGUAUUUCGGUAUGUAAAGCCCUAUCGGCAGGGAAGAAGAAAUGACGGUACCUGAGUAAGAAGCACCGGCUAAAUACGUGCCAGCAGCCGCGGUAAUACGUAUGGUGCAAGCGUUAUCCGGAUUUACUGGGUGUAAAGGGAGCGCAGGCGGCACGGCAAGCCUGAUGUGAAAGCCCGCGGCCCAACCGCGGGACUGCUCUUGGAAGUGCGUGGCUAGAGUGCAGGAGGGGCAGGCGGAAUUCCUGGUGUAGCGGUGAAAUGCGUAGAUAUCAGGAGGAACACCGGUGGCGAAGGCGGCCUGCUGGACUGCAACUGACGUUGAGGCCCGAAAGCGUGGGGAGCAAACAGGAUUAGAUACCCCCGUAU
rnacentral:rRNA from 1 species